GGGGGGGGGGGGGGGGGGGGGGAGCAGAGGGAAGUCGGGGGGCAGCAGAGGAAGGGCUGGCUCGGAGGGGGGGGGGGGGGCGGGGGGGGGGGGAAAGGACGGGAAUGUACUUUUUGGGGGGGGAAAAGGGAGGGAAACUUAGGGAAAUACGGCAAAGAGCCACCGGGGGAAAGAGGGGAAUCUUGGGCCCUUCGGCGAUGGAAUGGGCCGAUGUCGGAUUAGCUAGUUGGCGGGGUAAAGGCCCACCAAGGCGACGAUCCGUAGCUGGUCGGAGAGGAUGAUCAGCCACACUGGAACUGAGACACGGUCCAGACUCCUACGGGAGGCAGCAGUGGGGAAUAUUGGACAAUGGGCGCAAGCCUGAUCCAGCCAUACCGCGUGGGUGAAGAAGGCCUUCGGGUUGUAAAGCCCUUUUGUUGGGAAAGAAAAGCAGCAGGUUAAUACCCCGCUGUUCUGACGGUACCCAAAGAAUAAGCACCGGCUAACUUCGUG
rnacentral:rRNA from 1 species